CCUCAGCACACACGGAUACACAACUUCCCCUCCUCCAUCAGCUGAUAUAUUGUCAACCUCGAGUUUGGCAGGAAGUGCAUAUUGUGCGUAUGGCUGGAACAUGAGGACAAGAAACUGUCUUAUGCAGAGCUACCGGGACAACACACUAAGCUUUUGACGAAGAAGCAUCGGGAGAUGGACAGUUGUAGGAGAGGACGACCAUGGGGGAAGCUAGUCAAAGUGGACUCCAGUGAAACUGUCCUGCUUUUCAACAAGGAAUGCACAGUCGGCAGAAAGAAAGGAUGUUAUCUGUCGUUUCCAGCCAGCAAACUGGUCUCAGGGGUGCACUGCAAGAUUGUGCAAGAUGAAAGCUCAGGGUUGGUGUGGCUUGAAGACAUGAGCACUAAUGGCACGGUGAUCAACAUGUCCAAACUGGUCAAGAAGCAAACUCACAUGCUGCAGAAUGGUGAUGUCAUCUAUUUUGUAUAUAGGAAAAGUGAGCCAGAACAAAACAUUGCCUAUGUUUACCACUCAAUCCAAACGGAGCAAGCUAUUUCACAGCAUAGUUAUGACAUGGAGAGGCCAGCCCAUAGUCCUGCUCCCAUUCCAGCUUCAGAGAUGUCACUCUCUGUAGAGCCUGUAAUGCUCACAAAGGCUCCUCGUGAUCCAAUUCAGGAGGAACCUCAGCCCUCCACCUCCGCUUCCCACUUCUGUAUUGAGAGCCCUAUCACUUCUGGUCCCAUGGCAACCUCAGCUUCUCCUGCCUCUGGCCAAGCUAAAGAAGACAUAGACAACAUUGAGCCAGAAAGCAAGCGGAGGAAAAAAGAUAACGAUAAAGAUUACGAUUCGGGCUUACAACACACAUCCAGUACAGAAGUGGUCGGUUCAGAUAAGGGAAGUCUUGGAAGUCUUUUGUCUAAAUCUCCAGUUGAAGGGACUAAAACAGACAAGAUGGAGGAGACUCUGACAUGUGUUAUUUGCCAGGACCUACUGCAUGACUGUGUCAGCUUGCAGCCUUGCAUGCAUGUCUUCUGUGCUGCCUGCUACUCAGGCUGGAUGGAGCGUUCUUCGCUUUGCCCCACCUGCCGCUGCCCUGUGGAGAGGAUUCAUAAGAACCACAUCCUUAACAACCUGGUGGAGGCCUACCUCAUCCAGCACCCAGAAAAGUGUCGCAGUGAGGAGGAUCUGAAGAGCAUGGACAGCCGUAACAAGAUAACUCAGGACAUGUUGCAGCCAAAAGUUGAGCGAUCUUUCUCUGAUGAGGAGGGCAGUUCAGAUUAUCUCUUUGAGCUCUCUGACAAUGACAGUGACUCCUCAGACAUUAGUCAGCCUCUAGUGAUGUGCAGGCAGUGUCCUGGCUACAGGACAGAGGUCAGUCAGGUGCUGUUUGCUACAGGUUCAAACUACUGGUUCCCUGGUCUGCCAGCUCCACUGCCUAUACCUGCUCCACCCAAACCAGCAACCGAGGAGGGGUGUGCAAAGCCCACAGGGGAGCAGCCAUCAACAUCCACUGAUGUUCCCUCAGCUCCUCAGGAAUACCGCUGCCCCGCUCAGGGCUGCCAUCUCAUCUGCACCUGCUGCCUCCAGCCGAUGCCGGACAGACGGGCCGAGCUAACCAGCCAGCAGUUCACUGCUCAACAAUGUGUGCUGUGCCAGCGACCCUUCUGUCAUAUGUACUGGGGUUGCCAGAGGAUUGGCUGUCAGGGCUGUCUGGCUCGGUUCAGCGAGCUCAAUCUGACAGACAAAUGCUUGGAUGGAGUGCUAAACAACAAUAACUAUGAAUCAGAGAUCCUCCAGAACUACCUGUCCUCUAGAGGGAAGUCGUGGAGAGAUCUUCUCCAGGAGGCUCUGCAGGGCUUACAGCAAGCAAACUACUUUCUGACAGAUUGCCACAUCUCUGCAAACACCAUCCUGUGCUUCUGCUGUGGCCUGCGAGCAUUCAAGGAGCUGGCCUACAAGUACAGACAGAACAUUCCUCCAUCUGAACUGCCAGCUGCUGUAACAUCUCGUCCCGACUGUUACUGGGGACGUAACUGUCGCACACAGGUGAAGGCACAUCAUGCAGUGAAAUUCAACCACAUAUGUGAGCAGACACGUUUCAAGAACUGAGGGAGGUGAGGCGUUUGUUUCUUCAGUGUCAAAUGUAGAUAACGGAACAUCUCACGCAAUGGAGAGACACCAUCUUAUUAAGUUUUGUUGUGUCCAUUGUAGCUAACUGCCUUUCAGAUGUUAUGCAAUAAGUCAAUGCAGAAAUUACAAUCAGUGUCCAUUUACAAUAGUGACCAGUGUCUUACUUGACAUAGGGCUGUGUGAAAUAAUGUUAUGCAUAUUCAAACUAAAGUUCAGAGUUUAAUGAAGUUUCAUGCUGUUAGGAGUUAGGACCUGGGUGGGCAUUUAACACCAGCCCCCAUUUAAAUUGUGCUAAAUUUUGUCUGUGACUCCUGCAUUUGUGUAAUUUAACAGGUAACCAACCACCUUUUCAUGGUAAUUUAUUUUUUUGGGUGGUGAAAUAUUUAAAGGUGCUUCCUGAUAUGUCUGUCCUCCAGCCUACGUGACAAAAAUGUUAGUUUUCCUUUCAUAUUAAGAGCGACUGAGGCAAUCUGUAUGCAUUAAGGCCAUGUGCUGUAUGUAAACUUACAAAUGUUGAUGCGCAUGUUUUAUAUAAUGGCCUUCUCCAGCCUUGAUUACCGAGGCUUAAAGGACCUGAUGCAUAUUUUCUUUUUUCACUUGUCAUGUAUUUAAACAGUUUUAUGAAAAACUGAGCUUGGAAUUCAGGGCUCUAAACAACAUCGUGUCAAUGAAAAUAUUCAUUGAAUGUCAUUAGAGUUAAAACAAGUGAUAAAUAGUAUUACAGUAAUAGUAAUACUCUGCAGCAUCUUUUUGUGCAGAUAUGCUGCUUCCAAGAUCCCAACUGCUAACUUUAAUCGAUAGUAGUACGUGCAGUCUCACCUCUGAGGAUCUAUUUCUGUUUUGCAAGGGCAUUACUGUAUUCCUAGGCAAGAGCAAAAAGCCACGUCAAAGCCCCGCACUCGAACAAGGGUAGUUUCAUAAUCCCAUGUGAUAUUUGUAUAGGAUUUCAUGUCUGUGGGAAGGGGAUCAGGUUGUUGAAACGCUGUCAGAGGGCACGGGGGCCUCUGUUGUAUGCUAUGCUUUGCUCUGGAUAAUCAUCUCCAAGGUGAUUAAAGUAGUGUAGAGGGGAUGCCUUUUCAGAGCCUUGUAGUAAGGGCUAAACUGGGAGGACAUGCACGGUUACUCCGUUUAGACUCUAGAGAGGAAAAAAUAGACUGCACUGCAAGCAACCAGUAACAGUUAAAUAUGCUGAAGCUGAAUGUGCUUGUAGAGUUUUCAUAUGCAACGUUUUGCAGGAGAAACCUGCAGAACCAACAGUUUAGAAACCGUGCCAACACAACAGAAUGUUCUGUCAUUUGGGUUCUAAUUAUAUAUUUUCUAGCUUACCUUGCAAGCAUUUUCUGUUGAUGUUUUGGAAAUAUUAGUUGAUCAGUGUGGUGGAUUUGGUUAGAUUAAAAUUUAAGUUAGAUUUCCGCCGCUUCCUCAGGUACAAAAUCUGCCGUUUUUGUUGUUGUUCAUUGCAGGUUAACCAUGUUUGGUGGUUAGAAAAGUUCUGUGUCCAUUUGUAAAAGGUGACACUGAACAGUCAUGUUGGAUCUGAUAACGUCUCAUUUAGGACUGUCAUUACCCAAGUGUCAGUUGUGAUAUGAACCGAACAUCCUGGAAGAGGUGUCUGUAUCCAGUGUACAGAAUGUCACUUCUCUGGCUCAUAAUGUCUGAUUUGUAAUGUGAAGAGUUUCAUUCCAAAAUGAGAAAAAUGCAUAUAUUAAAAAAUAGAUUUUUUUUUUAAGAAUAUCCUUGAUAUAGUAAGUGCCGAAUUUCAUAAAAUUAUGUGCAUGUCUGGUAUAUAGAAUAGUAACAUCAGCCAUAGUGAAUAUGGAUACAGUAUGUGUUAUUUUGGAAUUACGAUCUUCAUAUUUUCAUUGUAAGUCUUGGUGGCAGAAUGGAUUUGUGAAUGGGCACUUACUGGCCUCCUUAGUUAAUUUGUGGUUUUAGCAAGGUGGUUUAGGUGUUUUUUUUGUUUUUGGCCCCCUCAGUCAUGGUGGGUCCACAUUGGCAUUCCUUAGCGGCUCAGGCCCACAGCACAAGCCUGGUCGAUCCCCCACCAGAGUGGCUGAGUUUUAAUUAUUCCCUACAGGAGAUCCGGGCACGCUAAGCCAACAACAGGCCCAAGCCGCUCCAAUCAGGGAUUGGUAUUAAAGAGGCUUUGCAGGAGUGCUUUCCAUUCUCCCUGGGUUGGGAUGUGCAGGGGUAUGUUGUAUACUAAGGCAAAUAUUUACUCACUUUGUGUGCAAAAGUCUGGACCAACUUGCUCAACAGUAUGGAAGAGGCAGGUUUCAUUCUACCUCAUCACAGCUUCCAGGAAUAUGGAAGACUGAACGGGCAUCAGAGUCACAUCAGUUCAAAGCUGGGCUUGCAUUUCGCUGUAUGAGGGAUGGAAGUCCACUGAUGCCUGUAAACUUUGUAUGCAAUGCACUAUUUGAACAACAAGUCUAGACUAUAAUCCACUUCAAGUUAAAUCACUAUAGAGUAGCACUAGGCACAUGCAAAAAAUGUUGAGGACUUAAGUUUGAGAAAUGUUUGAUAAAUGCUUGUUUACCCUGUAUGUUGUAUUAGCAAUGCUGAAAUUGUCUUCUAAAUGCAUAAUGAUCUGAUUUGCUUGUUUACCGCAACAAAAUAAAAGACUGAUAUAGCGGUCUGUAGAAACUGACUUGCUUUUGUCAAUAAGUUAAACGUCCCCCUCCAUUUAAAAAUGUCUUUGGCUUAUUGUUGGAUGUUUGAGCUUCACUUUAUGUGCACCGUUUGACACAUGAAAGGCUUUUUUCACAUUCACCUUUUGAAUGAAAAGUGUCUCUCUGCUCACCUUAAAUCAUGUAGGUGCGAGAAAGAUUUUGUGGCAUCACAACUAGGUAAGAAGCUAAUCAUGAUCAUAGAUUUUCUUUUAAGAAUUUUUUUAAUGUUUGGGCUUCACAUGAAGAUGCAACUUCCAGUUGGGAUAAAUCCAGUUAAACAAAUUACUAU